CCUCUUCCAGCUGUGUGGCAGACCCCACCAGCUGUGUUAACACUUCAUGAUGUUUUCAGAAGCUCCCAGUUCCAGGGCUGAGGAGUCCUGAAAGAGUGAGAGAGAUGGAAACUUCUACAAUAGGAUCUUUUCGGAUGUGUCAAGUCGAUAUUGCAGCUGUCUUGACCUUCCCUUCCAUUUCCUGGGCAGGCAACAGCAUCGUAUCUGUUUGUCCUCCUGAGGAACAAGGCAAGAUAAAGAAGAUGCAGGGUGAUAGGGUUGAAGCAACAGGAUGAGAGAUCUCAAGCAUGCUGCUAAAUAUUGUGGUCUGACAAAACUACAUGGCUUCCUUUAUCAAGACAGCUGUGUUUUUACGUAAACAAUCUUAAUUUGGCCUGCAGAAGGAUCACGCCUGAUACUCAAAUGUACUACCUUGGAAGGUCACCUUGACUUCCCCAAGGAGCUUGCUUCAAGGCAUUCAGAAUGCCAGACCAGAAAGCCUCACAGACUGAGACUUUCAGCAGAAGAAUAACCGGUUCUGGUCACUGUUCUACUUCUCAUGAAAGGGACACAGCAAGACGUAGAGAGAUGUCUGGCCUAACACCUGAAUCCACCCCAUACAGAAAUAUGAAAACAUGAGGCAUGCUGACUUCAGCUCCCAUGAAGUAUUAUCUUGACAUUGAAAUAAAUCUGUUUU